rnacentral:tRNA from 1 species
GAUUUUUUAGUUUAGGUUAGAAUUUUUCAUUUACGAUGAGAGGGUAUGUAAAAUCU